rnacentral:rRNA from 1 species
UACGUAGGGGGCAAGCGUUGUCCGGAUUUAUUGGGCGUAAAGAGCGUGUAGGCGGCCUGAAAGGUCAGCUGUGAAAACUCGAGGCUCAACCUCGAGACGUCGGUUGAAACCAUCUGGCUAGAGUCCGGAAGAGGAGUGUGGAAUUCCCGGUGUAGCGGUGAAAUGCGCAGAUAUCGGGAAGAACACCGGUGGUGUAGACGGCUCUCUGGACCGCGACUGACGCUGAGACACGAAAGCGUGGGUAGCAAACAGG